UUGUGAUGAUAGUUUAGUUUCAACGAGCAAUCCGGACACAGCCCUGAAAUACAAUUAAUGAUAAAAAGGUUAUUCCAGCAACAUGUAACAAGUCUGCACGUAACAAAUUGUUAACAAGUUGAUGACAACAAGCUCGUAGCAACUUGUGACAAACAGCUUCUAUCAGUGUUGUUGGAACAACUUGUUGCAAGCCUGUUACUGCCAUCAACCUUGUAACAAGGUGAUAACAACUUGUUCCAGACUUGUCACAACAACUGGGAAAAAGCAGUACGAACACAUCCUGAUAUCGGCUUGAUUGUUGUCAACCUCUUGCAGACCUUGUUACAACUUGUUCCAGACUUGUCACAACAACUGGGAAAAAGCAGUACGAACACAUCCUGAUAUCGGCUUGAUUGUUGUCAACCUCUUCACCUUGUUACAACUUGUUCCAGACUUGUCACAACAACUGGGAAAAAGCAGUACGAACACAUCCUGAUAUCGACUUGAUUGUUGUCAACCUCUUCACCUUGUUACAACUUGUUCCAGACUUGUCACAACAACUGGGAAAAAGCAGUGCGAACACAUCCUGAUAUCGACUUGAUUGUUGUCAACCUCUUGCAGACUUUGUUACAACUUGUUCCAGACUUGUCACAACAACUGGGAAAAAGCAGUACAAACACAUCCUGAUAUCGGCUUGAUUGUUGUCAACCUCUUGCAGACCUUGUUAUAACUUGUUCCAGACUUGUCACAACAACUGGGAAAAAGCAGUACGAACACAUCCUGAUAUCGGCUUGAUUGUUGUCAACCUCUUGCAGACUUUGUUACAACUUGUUUGCAGAUCUGAAACAACUUCCGCAAACUUAAAGGGGAAAUGUCACCGAUUUUUGACCUAAAAUGCCUUUUAUUCAAAAACUGAACUACAAAGUUAAAACUAAACAUUGUAAAUGGAUUAAGUUAUGAUAUAUGAGUCAUAUUAAACAACUUUGAACGUACACGCAACAUGUAACACGACAUUUUCAUAAAAAUUGACUAAAACUUGAAAAAGUGUCUGCCAACAAUUAAUCAAGAUGCCAUUUACAAUCCAUCUCAAUCCUGGCGUAAUCUUGCCCAUCCAGACUUCUGUACAUGUUUUUUUGUGUCUGUUAUUGCUUUAUUGUGUGCUUACACUCAUUCUUUUUCAGUUUUGGGCAAAAUUUGCGAGAGUUAGAAUUUCUCAAAAAUCGGUGACAUUGCCCCAACCCACCAGUUUCGAAAGACACUAUAGCUGGGAUUGAUGUAUCUAAGUAUACCGCACAUAGCAGCCGGGCGACGGCAACCUCACAUGCAAAGUCUAAACGACUUGCAGUGCAAGAGAUAAUGAAAUGUGCUGGCUGGUCUUCAGACACAAUUGUUGCUAGAUUUUGCAAGAAACCGGUACAAACUUCGCAAAAUUUUAGCUAAGUCGUUCUCGGUAAUCGAACUUGACUGUGUAUAGAUAUUUAAUGUUCAU